rnacentral:sRNA from 1 species
CCUUGUGGGGGAUUUUUAAAAAGUCGUUAUUUUUUUUUUAAAGAAACAUUUCCGUGCUACUGUCUGUCAUCGUCUCUGGGGAAAUCAGCCAGAACCACCGGAACGUAACUGAAACCAGACAAGAGAGGCAGGAGCCCAGGCAGUACCUGCAGCGUCCAGGCACCAGAGCCACCUUGGAACGGGAACGCGUCUCCGGCCGCGGGGCUGCGGCUCCGCCAAACUUUGGGGCGGGUGGGGCGGGUUGGGGCGCCCAGGGGGCUCUGUAGACCGAGGGCGGCCCCCUAACCAUGAUGUUUCGCGACCAGGUCGGGGUGCUGGCGGGCUGGUUUAAGGGCUGGAACGAGUGCGAGCAGACUGUUGCGCUGCUGUCGCUGCUCAAGCGCGUGAGCCAGACCCAGGCCCGCUUCCUCCAGCUCUGCCUGGAGCACUCGCUGGCCGACUGCGCCGAGCUGCACGUCCUCGAACGCGAGGCCAACAGCCCUGGAAUCAUUAACCAAUGGCAACAGGAAUCCAAGGAUAAAGUGAUUUCCCUCCUGUUAACUCAUCUGCCUUUGCUGAAGCCAGGAAACCUCGACGCAAAAGUAGAAUAUAUGAAACUGCUGCCCAAAAUCCUGGCUCACUCUAUUGAACACAACCAGCACAUUGAGGAGAGCAGGCAGCUGCUGUCCUAUGCUUUGAUACAUCCAGCCACUUCAUUAGAAGACCGUAGUGCUUUAGCCAUGUGGCUGAAUCACUUGGAGGACCGCACAUCAACCAGCUUUGGUGGCCAGAACCGAGGCCGCUCAGACUCUGUGGAUUAUGGACAGACACACUACUAUCACCAAAGACAGAACUCCGAUGACAAGCUCAAUGGAUGGCAGAACUCUCGGGAUUCUGGGAUUUGCAUCAAUGCCUCCAACUGGCAGGACAAAAGCAUGGGGUGUGAGAAUGGCCAUGUGCCCCUCUACUCCUCCUCAUCUGUCCCCACCACAAUCAAUACGAUUGGAACCAGCACAAGUACAAGUAAGUUCCCCGGAAGCCCUUUAACGUAGUCUGGUUUGGCGAUUUGCUGUGUAUGUGGCAUGUCCUGCUGACAGUGUCUGCUCCAUGCACCCUGUGACCCUGGGAGAGAAGGACUGAUUGGAAUUGGCUGUGGGAAAGGUCCUUUGGACCCCAUAUUUGUUGCCUUUUGACUCUGCAAAGAUGAAAAUACUGGGAAGGUAAAAGUGACUGGUAGUCCAAAUUUGGGUUAUAAACAGACCAAAAAUAAAUAGAGAAUAAAUGAAAGGAGGAAACUUCCCGUUUCCACAAACAGAAAUGCAUUUCACCCAUGUCUUUCACCCUGGGGUUUUGGAUUUGCCGAGACACUGAGUUACUGUGUGAUUCUCUAAACCUAAUUCUAACCCAUGGUUAACCAGGCAGCCUCAUGGGCUUUGUGCUUUUUCUUUAUUAUUUUUUUUUUCCUCCUUCUUUCUCUUUCUUUCUUUCUGGUUUUUUUUUUUUUGUUUGUUUGUUUGUUUUUCUUAAAUUUCCCCCUGGAAUGUUUCCUCCCUUUGCAUUUUCUGGUUUUAAUCCCCAAUUGUUGGGGCACUUUUUUCCUGACCAGUGGGAGCAGGUUUGCUAACUGAGAAUACUGCUGUGUGCUGUGGCCUGGUGAGAAUGCCGUGGACUUCCUCUCACUCAGUCCAACACCUUAGGAGAGGCGGGUCAGGAACUGCUUUGUGGGUGGGGAGAGCGGAGGACAGCCCUCUGCUCUUUUGACCACUAAAGCAAAGUAUUGCACCCUCGGCUGGGCACUGGGGCUGGGAGUCCUCUCUGUGUCUCCCCACUGAGGCCGAGCAAAGUGACAAACACACCAUUGGUGCCUAUAUAAAGUAGCAGUGUGGAAGUGCACCCUGUCUUCAAACAGUGUUCCUUAAUGCUAGUUUGCACCUGUCUGUGAAUGCAGUGGCAGUGCCAAGAUAACUUUCUUCAAGGAAUGCUUUUGCAAUUAGACCUGAUGUGCCUGUCUUCAUGCAGCAACCCCCAGUUAAAAGAUAUGAGAGGAUUAAUAAUUGGGGCCCUGGCACAGAGACUGAGGCCUGUGAUCCCACCACUUUGGGAAGCCUAGGCGGGCAGAUACUUGAGGUCAGGAAUUCAAGACCAGCCUGGCCAACAUGGUGAAACCCUAUCUCUACCAAAAAAUACAAAAAUUAGCCGGACAUGGUGGUGUAUGCCUGUAAUCCCAGCUACUCGGGAGGCUGAGGUUAAGGAAUCACUUGAACCCAAGAGGCAGAGGUUGCAGUGAGAUGAGAUUGUACCACUGCACUUCAGCCUGGGCAACAGAGUGAGUCUCAGAAG